UGAAUGUGUUAGUAGGAAAAAGUUUGAUUAUUCUCGGAAACUCAAAUGUUAAAAUACAUGGUAUAAAUUUACUUAUAUGCAUGUAUGCUGAAAUAGGUCGAUUUUCAAUUGUAUAGACAGUGGGCAAUACUUCGGCCACAUCAGGGAUUCAAAAUUUGAUGUAGGAUUAUAUUCGUAUAAAAAUGCAGUUGUGUUUAAGAUCUUCUUCAGUAUUGCAAUGCAUGUAAAAUGAAUUGUUAGUGUAUGAACAAUUUUUAUGGUUCAUUUAAUUACAUCAUCAAAUCGGUAAUACAAAAUAGCUUAUUCAUUAAUUCAUUUAUAAAAUAAUUUUUUGAUUUUUUUUUAGAAAAAAAAAUGAAUCAAUACACAACCAAAAACCCGUUGAAUGAAUGAAUAAAUAAAUAAAUAAAGGAUAAAUAAAUAAAUAAAAAUGAAUAAAUAAAAAAAAGACAACUAGAUAGAUAAAUAAAUAAAUAAAUAAAUAAAUAAACUACUUGAGUGCAGGCAAGUACUGCGGGGGUGUUUUGUCGGCGGUAAUAAAGACACUUGACAAUAACAUUGUAAAAAAAUAAUUCCAAAAAACGAAAAUGCAAUAUGAGCUACAUGUGAUUGUCCGGAAAACAGUGACAUUGACAGUAUACAACCAAUAUACAGACAGGCUCACUAUAAUAAACCGAUGGAGGAGAUGAGUAUUUUGACACCCCCUCCCGUUUUUAUAGAGAUAUGACAAUAUAAGUCAAUAUAGGAAGAUAAUAAUAACAAUAGAUUGAGAUCGGAGGCUGUCUAGGGUUGACCCCCCGGGGUGGACACUCAGGGAGAGGACGAGGAUACGUCGCAUAUAUAGCAUGUUCCUGCUUCGAUAUCUUCGCUCGACGAGAUUUCACGAGAUCUGGAGGAACAGAGAAAGCUAGGUUCCCAGAAAACAAGCAGCCAUGUCCCCUUACAUCGCCGUGAUUUUGUCCCUGUGUGUCUGCCUCUCCUUGACCGUACAGGAACCGCUAAACACCAAGGCCGGGGCGACAAGGCAGCGCAGUAGGGUUACACGGAACAUCCUUGGGGAGCUUGAGAUGAUGAACGCGCUGGCAGAGCGGAUGAACUGGGUGGGGCACGGACUCAAUAUGUCUCUAUAUGGAAAAUAGACAAUAAGGGAACGCUUAAUAAAGG